UACGGAGGAUCCAAGCGUUAUCCGGAUUUAUUGGGUUUAAAGGGUGCGUAGGCGGCCUAUUAAGUCAGGGGUGAAAGACGGUAGCUCAACUAUCGCAGUGCCUUUGAUACUGAUGGGCUUGAAUAUACUAGAGGUAGGCGGAAUGUGACAAGUAGCGGUGAAAUGCAUAGAUAUGUCACAGAACACCGAUUGCGAAGGCAGCUUACUAUGGUAUUAUUUGACGCUGAGGCACGAAAAGCGUGGGGGAGUCAAA
rnacentral:rRNA from 1 species